UAACGAAUAUUCCGCAAUGCGCGAAAGCGUGACGGAGCAAUGCCGCGUGCAGGAUGAAGCGGUUUCGCCGUGUAAACUGCUGUCAGGGGUCACUAACACUGAAGGACCCCAGAGGAAGAGCCGGCUAACCCUGUGCCAGCAGCCGCGGUAAGACAGGGGGCUCGAGCGUUAAUCGGAAUUACUGGGCUUAAAGGGUGCGUAGGCGGUCCCGUAAGUGUCUCGUGAAAGCCCACGGCUCAACCGUGGAACCGCGGGGCAUACUGCGGGACUUGAGGAAGCUAGAGGCCGGUGGAACGAUCGGUGGAGCGGUGGAAUGCGUAGAUAUCGAUCGGAACGCCAAAGGUGAAGACAACCGGCUGGGGCUUUCCUGACGCUGAGGCACGAAAGCGUGGGUAGCAAACAGGAUUAGAUACCCCCGUAGUCC
rnacentral:rRNA from 1 species